CGGCGAGUGAAGCGGCAACAGCUCAAAUUUGAAAGCUGGUCCUCUCAGGGCCCGCGUUGUAAUUUGUAGAGGAUGAUUCGGCGAGGGCUCCCGCCUAAGUCCCCUGGAACGGGGCGUCAUAGAGGGUGAGAAUCCCGUAUGCGGUGGGCUGCCUUAGCCAUGUGAAUCUCCUUCGACGAGUCGAGUUGUUUGGGAAUGCAGCUCUAAAUGGGAGGUAAAUUUCUUCUAAAGCUAAAUACCGGCCAGAGACCGAUAGCGCACAAGUAGAGUGAUCGAAAGAUGAAAAGCACUUUGGAAAGAGAGUUAAAAAGUACGUGAAAUUGUUGAAAGGGAAGCGCUUGCAACCAGACUUGUCCGCAGUUGCUCAGCCGGUCUCCUGACCGGCGUACUCUUCUGCGGCCAGGCCAGCAUCAGUUCGGGCGGUCGGAUAAAGGCCUCGGGAAUGUGGCUCCCCUCGGGGAGUGUUAUAGCCCGGGGCGCAAUGCGGCCAGCCUGGACUGAGGAACUCGCUUCGGCUAGGAUGCUGGCGUAAUGGUUGUAAGCGGCCCGUCUUGAAACACGGACCAAGGAGUCUAACAUCUAUGCGAGUGUUUGGGUGUCAAACCCAUACGCGUAAUGAAAGUGAACGGAGGUGGGAACCCUCACGGGUGCACCAUCGGCCGAUCCUGAUGUCUUCGGAUGGAUUUGAGCAAGAGCAUAGCUGUUGGGACCCGAAAGAUGGUGAACUAUACCUGAAUAGGGUGAAGCCAGAGGAAACUCUGGUGGAGGCUCGCAGCGGUUCUGACGUGCAAAUCGAUCGUCAAAUUUGGGUAUAGGGGCGAAAGACUAAUCGAACCAUC
rnacentral:rRNA from 1 species